CCUCCUUUCUUGGCAUGGCACUUCUGUUCCUGAAAGAGUCAUGUAUGCUUAACGGGAGGAAGAGAAGAGUCUUGUUGAAGUCAUGCCUUCGGUGCUGGUGCCGACCCUUUGUCACUGCACCAGUCCCAUCCUCUAGACGUCAUACAAUU
rnacentral:snoRNA from 1 species